GCUUAAAGGAAUCUAGAAUUUCUAAUGUACUUUUGUUUUUCCAGAUUCCAUUCUGUGGUUUUCACAUUCACAUUCAUGGCUGAUUUCAAUUUGACAAGCACUUAUUAAAUACGUACUCUACAAAGCAUCAAGGGAUCUACAUUGCUGCGAGGAAUGCAAAGGCAAAGAUGAAGUCAUCCCUGUCUUCAAGGAGCUUCUCUUCUCUUGAAGGUGGGAGGCACAUGUACAUGAGUCACAGUCACAGACUUGACCCUGACCAGGAAGGUCAUCUAUAACUCGGUGAUCUACAUCAUCUACAACAAUGAUCAUCUUGCACCAUUUGAAGUCCUACAGGAAUAGGACCUUGGGACCUUCAGAGGCAGACAAUUCCACUUUGAUGUGCUCGGAUGCUUGGGGUGUUUUCCCCAUAGAUCAAGCCUAAAUCUGUCCCUUUGCAACAUCCACUGGUCACUUUCAUUCUACCCUUUGGGGACAAGUAGAGCAAAUUUAGACUUUCACAUGUACCCUUCAAAUCGAUGAAGACAGAGCCCUG